CGGCAGAGGUCGGUAACGGACAUCGGUGAAUCCGCGGCGGAGAUGGGAGCCGGCGGGGCACGUGGGGUGCGGGACCAGCGAGAAUGAAACAUCAUCAAUAUAAUCUAUAUCCGGAUAGAAUCUGUGAUCAUUCAGACCUUCGCUGGAAGGAAUUUGCAUCUGGAAAACCUCAGCUGAACGGAGGAGCAGUGUAAACAUUUACACAGAACUUGGCAGUCAGCCAAGCAGCCACUGACCGCUUCCCGGCCGGGGGCGGAGCACUGCUCAGAUUGAGCGGCCAUGCGGCCACCCCUAGAAUGUACUGAGUUCCCUCUCUGUGCGUGCGCAUUAUUUCACCGACUUCGCAGCACAAAGCCCCGAGCUGGAGAUCACAGGCAUCUGUUUUACGUUUGCAGAGACUGAGGCACAGUGAAGCUCCAAGUCUUAUCCGCAGGGUCGCAGCAGCCCGGCUCCAGACCCCUCAGCGCCCUGGCCCCUCCGGACCCCAGAAGUGGUGGGUCCCCAGCCAUCUAAAUUAAAAUGGAAAAGGAAAAGUCUUACCUAGAGGAGUAGGUUGGCCCAAAUGUGCAGAGGGCGGGGCUUUCUACAGGAACGAAAAGGAAAGUGGAAUUCGAGUACCUUCCAUGUGUGACGUAUGUCCUGGUAGAGAGACUCGCCACUCAUUAUUUGCUCUAAAUCUCAGAACCAACUUGCUUGAUCCCAUUUCACAGGCACGCGACACCCCUCAAGCCGCUUGCGCCCUAACCCCACGCCGCGCGUUCUGCCUGGAGGCCCCCCACCUGACACAGGCACCUGCAAGAGAGACCUCGCCCCUGCCCCUUAGAAAUGCCGCCUGACCAGGACGCCCCACCCCCAGGGCCGCACCCAACUCUGCAGGCAAAGGUGGGCGUCCUGCGCCCGUCCCCGUCCUGACCCGGAGGCCCGCGGGCCGGCAAAUCAGGAAAGUGGUCCGGGCUCCUCGUAAAGGUGGGCCACUGCCCCGGGCAGGCUCUGCGCACGGGGCGGGCAGGAAACGCAAGGAGAGCCUGAACCCAGCUCACGACCUACUGUGCUAAUUCCUGAGAAGUAGGAAGAGGGGCGCCCAGGGGGGCGCAAGGGGACGCUUCCGGAAGAAACAGCCCAGGACGUUAGUAUGCAGGGGUGCAGCCCCUCCCGGGUCUGGGGGGGCGGGCACU